rnacentral:rRNA from 1 species
UAACUCUGGGAUAAGCCUGGGAAACUGGGUCUAAUACCGGAUAGGAGCGCCCACCGCAUGGUGGGUGUUGGAAAGAUUUAUCGGUUUUGGAUGGACUCGCGGCCUAUCAGCUUGUUGGUGAGGUAAUGGCUCACCAAGGCGACGACGGGUAGCCGGCCUGAGAGGGUGACCGGCCACACUGGGACUGAGACACGGCCCAGACUCCUACGGGAGGCAGCAGUGGGGAAUAUUGCACAAUGGGCGCAAGCCUGAUGCAGCGACGCCGCGUGAGGGAUGACGGCCUUCGGGUUGUAAACCUCUUUCAGUAGGGAAGAAGCGAAAGUGACGGUACCUGCAGAAGAAGCACCGGCUAACUACGUGCCAGCAGCCGCGGUAAUACGUAGGGUGCGAGCGUUAUCCGGAAUUAUUGGGCGUAAAGAGCUCGUAGGCGGUUUGUCGCGUCUGUCGUGAAAGUCCGGGGCUUAACCCCGGAUCUGCGGUGGGUACGGGCAGACUAGAGUGCAGUAGGGGAGACUGGAAUUCCUGGUGUAGCGGUGGAAUGCGCAGAUAUCAGGAGGAACACCGAUGGCGAAGGCAGGUCUCUGGGCUGUAACUGACGCUGAGGAGCGAAAGCAUGGGGAGCGAACAGGAUUAGAUACCCUGGUAGUCCAUGCCGUAAACGUUGGGCACUAGGUGUGGGGACCAUUCCACGGUUUCCGCGCCGCAGCUAACGCAUUAAGUGCCCCGCCUGGGGAGUACGGCCGCAAGGCUAAAACUCAAAGGAAUUGACGGGGGCCCGCACAAGCGGCGGAGCAUGCGGAUUAAUUCGAUGCAACGCGAAGAACCUUACCAAGGCUUGACAUGUUCUCGAUCGCCGUNGAGAUACGGUUUCCCCUUUGGGGCGGGUUCACAGGUGGUGCAUGGUUGUCGUCAGCUCGUGUCGUGAGAUGUUGGGUUAAGUCCCGCAACGAGCGCAACCCUCGUUCCAUGUUGCCAGCACGUAAUGGUGGGGACUCAUGGGAGACUGCCGGGGUCAACUCGGAGGAAGGUGAGGACGACGUCAAAUCAUCAUGCCCCUUAUGUCUUGGGCUUCACGCAUGCUACAAUGGCCGGUACAAUGGGUUGCGAUACUGUGAGGUGGAGCUAAUCCCAAAAAGCCGGUCUCAGUUCGGAUUGGGGUCUGCAACUCGACCCCAUGAAGUCGGAGUCGCUAGUAAUCGCAGAUCAGCAACGCUGCGGUGAAUACGUUCC